GAAAGGCGUAGUCGAUGGGAAACGGGUUAAUAUUCCCGUACUUGGUGUUACUGCGAAGGGGGGACGGAGAAGGCUAUGUUGGCCGGGCGACGGUUGUCCCGGUUUAAGCGUGUAGGCUGGUUUUCCAGGCAAAUCCGGAAAAUCAAGGCUGAGGCGUGAUGACGAGGCACUACGGUGCUGAAGCAACAAAUGCCCUGCUUCCAGGAAAAGCCUCUAAGCAUCAGGUAACAUCAAAUCGUACCCCAAACCGACACAGGUGGUCAGGUAGAGAAUACCAAGGCGCUUGAGAGAACUCGGGUGAAGGAACUAGGCAAAAUGGUGCCGUAACUUCGGGAGAAGGCACGCUGACACGUAGGUGAAGUGAUUUACUCAUGGAGCUGAAGUCAGUCGAAGAUACCAGCUGGCUGCAACUGUUUAUUAAAAACACAGCACUGUGCAAACACGAAAGUGGACGUAUACGGUGUGACGCCUGCCCGGUGCCGGAAGGUUAAUUGAUGGGGUCAGCGCAAGCGAAGCUCCUGAUCGAAGCCCCGGUAAACGGCGGCCGUAACUAUAACGGUCCUAAGGUAGCGAAAUUCCUUGUCGGGUAAGUUCCGACCUGCACGAAUGGCGUAAUGAUGGCCAGGCUGUCUCCACCCGAGACUCAGUGAAAUUGAACUCGCUGUGAAGAUGCAGUGUACCCGCGGCAAGACGGAAAGACCCCGUGAACCUUUACUAUAGCUUGACACUGAACAUUGAGCCUUGAUGUGUAGGAUAGGUGGGAGGCUUUGAAGUGUGGACGCCAGUCUGCAUGGAGCCGACCUUGAAAUACCACCCUUUAAUGUUUGAUGUUCUAACGUGGACCCGUUACCCGGGUUGCGGACAGUGUCUGGUGGGUAGUUUGACUGGGGCGGUCUCCUCCUAAAGAGUAACGGAGGAGCACGAAGGUUGGCUAAUCCUGGUCGGACAUCAGGAGGUUAGUGCAAUGGCAUAAGCCAGCUUGACUGCGAGCGUGACGGCGCGAGCAGGUGCGAAAGCAGGUCAUAGUGAUCCGGUGGUUCUGAAUGGAAGGGCCAUCGCUCAACGGAUAAAAGGUACUCCGGGGAUAACAGGCUGAUACCGCCCAAGAGUUCAUAUCGACGGCGGUGUUUGGCACCUCGAUGUCGGCUCAUCACAUCCUGGGGCUGAAGUAGGUCCCAAGGGUAUGGCUGUUCGCCAUUUAAAGUGGUACGCGAGCUGGGUUUAGAACGUCGUGAGACAGUUCGGUCCCUAUCUGCCGUGGGCGCUGGAGAACUGAGGGGGGCUGCUCCUAGUACGAGAGGACCGGAGUGGACGCAUCACUGGUGUUCGGGUUGUCAUGCCAAUGGCACUGCCCGGUAGCUAAAUGCGGAAGAGAUAAGUGCUGAAAGCAUCUAAGCACGAAACUUGCCCCGA
rnacentral:rRNA from 1 species